UGCCAGAAAACUGUGUUGUAUUAUUUCCAAGCACGUAUCUGACUGCUUUUUGUGGAAACCUGUCUAUUUCUGAGUCUUGGGCA